CCCGCCGCAGGAGCAGCCGGCGAGGAUCCACAGCGGCGCGCUGACUGCAAGCGGGGCCGGGACGCCACCUUACACAUGGAGCCUGCCCGCCGAGUGAUGCUCACACCUGCUAGCUGCGCCCAUCAUGUCCCGGCCAAGGAACAGCAAAAGGCACAUCCCUGACAGCAAGGCAAAUCUCCCAUCCACCAAAUGUCACGUACAUGCUCCAAAGCCUGGAGGUGCUACAGUUUGUCUACAAAACAGCGUUUCACUGUAGCAGAAUGGCGGAAGUUUUCCAGUUCCCAAUGCCUGUUUCGUAACUUACCUUAAAUCAGCGAGGCGUUGCUGAAGGAAUGCUGGGAAAUUGGAGCAAUGACAUCCCAAGCGCUGCUCAUCUGCAACUGGCACCAACAACCCUCAGAACUGUCAUGCCCCUGCACCCAGCAGUAACCUCCAGCUUCAUGCAGAGCACCCUGGAGCCAGCACGUAAGGGGCAUCCCAGGUUCAGGCUGAGCCCACUCAGGCUUCUGGAAAUGUUUGAUUCAUACUGAAUGAACUCACAGGCUUAACGGAAUCAUUUCCAUCUUAUGAUACUGAUCAUAUGAUUACACCUACCAUGCCAUGAGCUGCACUCCAGAAGCACAUAUGCACAUUGCCUCUGCUGUGAAGAGCCCUAACCACCACAUCCAGCACAGCUCGCCAGCUGCAGGAGCAAGAUCCUGCCCUGCGAUGAUACAUCCCCAGCUGUGUGCUUCUGCUGUAGAGGCAGGCUUGACCGCCAGGAUUUCAUGAUGUUAUUUU